rnacentral:rRNA from 1 species
UGAGGAAUUUUGCGCAAUGGGCGCAAGCCUGACCCAGCAACGCCGCGUGAGGGAAGAAGGCUUUCGGGUUGUAAACCUCUGUCCUUGGUGACGAAAAAAAUGACGGUAGCCAAGGAGGAAGCCCCGGCUAACUACGUGCCAGCAGCCGCGGUAAUACGUAGGGGGCGAGCGUUGUCCGGAAUUACUGGGCGUAAAGGGUGCGUAGGUGGCCUUUUAAGUUGGAUGUGAAAUCCCCGGGCUUAACUUGGGUGGUGCAUCUAAUACUGGAGGGCUAGAGUGCAGGAGAGGGAAGCGGAAUUCCUAGUGUAGCGGUGAAAUGCGUAGAUAUUAGGAGGAACACCAGUGGCGAAGGCGGCUUUCUGGACUGUAACUGACACUGAGGCACGAAAGCGUGGGGAGCAAACG